rnacentral:ncRNA from 1 species
UUCUUCGGGGCGGGGUGAAAUUCCCCACCGGCGGUAUAGUCCGCGACCUGCGCUGAGCAGCUGAUUUGGUGAAAUUCCAAAACCGACAGUAUAGUCUGGAUGAGAGAAGAA